UACGGAGGAUGCGAGCGUUAUCCGGAUUUAUUGGGUUUAAAGGGUGCGUAGGCGGUAUUUUAAGUUAGUGGUAAAACGUCGGGGCUUCACCUUGAUUGGCCAUUAAAACUGGAGUACUAGAGUACAGACGAGGUAGGCGGAAUAAGUUAAGUAGCGGUGAAAUGCUUAGAUAUCAGGAGGAACAUCGGUGGCGUAAGCGCUUUACUGGGCCGUAAUUGACGCUGAGGAACGAAAGCCAGGGUAGCAAAUGGG
rnacentral:rRNA from 1 species